GAUGAACGCUGGCGGCGUGCCUAAUACAUGCAAGUCGAGCGAACGGACGAGAAGCUUGCUUCUCUGAUGUUAGCGGCGGACGGGUGAGUAACACGUGGAUAACCUACCUAUAAGACUGGGAUAACUUCGGGAAACCGUAGCUAAUACCGGAUAAUAUUUUGAACCGCAUGGUUCAAAAGUGAAAGACGGUCUUGCUGUCACUUAUAGAUGGAUCCGCGCUGCAUUAGCUAGUUGGUAAGGUAACGGCUUACCAAGGCAACGAUGCAUAGCCGACCUGAGAGGGUGGUCGGCCAACCCGGAACUGGAGCACGGUCCAGACUCCUACGGGAGGCAGCAGUGGGGAAUCUUCCGCAAUGGGCCAAAGCCUGACGGGGCAACCCCGGGUGGGUGAUGAAGGUCUUCGGAUCGUAAAACCCUGUUAUUAGGGAAAAACAUAUUGGUAAGUAACUGUUCACAUCUUGAAGGUAACUAAUCAGAAAGCCACGGCUAACUACGUG
rnacentral:rRNA from 1 species